rnacentral:rRNA from 1 species
AUUGAACGCUGGCGGCAUGCUUUACACAUGCAAGUCGAACGGUAACAGGGUGCUUGCACCGCUGACGAGUGGCGAACGGGUGAGUAAUGCGUCGGAACGUGCCGAGUAGUGGGGGAUAACGCAGCGAAAGUUGUGCUAAUACCGCAUACGUACUGAGGUAGAAAGUGGGGGACCUUCGGGCCUCACGCUAUUCGAGCGGCCGACGUCUGAUUAGCUAGUAGGUGAGGUAAAGGCUCACCUAGGCGACGAUCAGUAGCGGGACUGAGAGGAUGAUCCGCCACACGUGGGCUGGGACACGGCCCAGACUCCUACGGGAGGCAGCAGUGGGGAAUUUUGGACAAUGGGCGAAAGCCUGAUUCAGCCAUGCCGCGUGUCUGAAGAAGGCCUUCGGGUUGUAAAGGACUUUUGUCAGGGAGGAAAUCCCUAGUGCUAAUAACACUGGGGGAUGACAGUACCUGAAGAAUAAGCACCGGCUAACUACGUGCCAGCCGCCGCAGUAA